rnacentral:rRNA from 1 species
AACGAACGUUGGCGGCGUGGAUUAGGCAUGCAAGUCGAGCGAGGACUGGGGGCAACUCCAGAGCCGAGCGGCGUAAGGGGCAGUAAGGUAUGGGUAACGUACCCUCGGAUCGGGGAUAGCUACGGGAAGCUGUAAGUAAUACCCGAUAAUGUCGAGAGACUAAAGAUUUAUCGUCCGGGGAGCGGCUCAUAUGCUAUUAGCUAGUUGGUGGGGUAACGGCCCACCAAGGCGAAGAUGGCUAGCGGGUGUGAGAGCACGACCCGCGCCACUGGCACUGAGACACUGGCCAGACACCUACGGGAGGCAGCAGUGGGGAAUAUUGGACAAUGGGGGAAACCCUGAUCCAGCUACGCCGCGUGGGUGAUGAA